CCUACGGGGGGCAGCAGUGAGGAAUAUUGGUCAAUGGGCGUAAGCCUGAACCAGCCAAGUCGCGUGAGGGAUGAAGGUUCUAUGGAUCGUAAACCUCUUUUAUAAGGGAAUAAAGUGUGGGACGUGUCCUGUUUUGUAUGUACCUUAUGAAUAAGGAUCGGCUAACUCCGUCCCAGCAGCCGCGGUAAUACGGAGGAUCCGGGCGUUAUCCGGAUUUAUUGGGUUGAAAGGGUGCGUAGGCGGCCGUUUAAGUCAGCGGUGAAAGUCUGUGGCUCAACCAUAGAAUUGCCGUUGAAACUGGGAGGCUUGAGUAUGUUUGAGGCAGGCGGAAUGCGUGGUGUAGCGGUGAAAUGCUUAGAUAUCACGCAGAACCCCGAUUGCGAAGGCAGCCUGCCAAGCCAUGACUGACGCUGAUGCACGAAAGCGUGGGGAUCAAACAGGAUUAGAUACCCUGGUAGUC
rnacentral:rRNA from 1 species